AUGAACGCUAGCUACAGGCUUAACACAUGCAAGUCGAGGGGCAGCAUCAUCAAAGCUUGCUUUGAUGGAUGGCGACCGGCGCACGGGUGAGUAACACGUAUCCAACCUGCCGACAACACUGGGAUAGCCUUUCGAAAGAAAGAUUAAUACCGGAUGGCAUAAUUAUUCCGCAUGGGAUAAUUAUUAAAGAAUUUCGGUUGUCGAUGGGGAUGCGUUCCAUUAGGCAGUUGGCGGGGUAACGGCCCACCAAACCUACGAUGGAUAGGGGUUCUGAGAGGAAGGUCCCCCACAUUGGAACUGAGACACGGUCCAAACUCCUACGGGAGGCAGCAGUGAGGAAUAUUGGUCAAUGGACGAGAGUCUGAACCAGCCAAGUAGCGUGAAGGAUGACUGCCCUAUGGGUUGUAAACUUCUUUUAUACGGGAAUAAAGUGAGCCACGUGUGGCUUUUUGUAUGUACCGUAUGAAUAAGGAUCGGCUAACUCCGUGCCAGCAGCCGCGGUAAUACGGAGGAUCCGAGCGUUAUCCGGAUUUAUUGGGUUUAAAGGGAGCGUAGGCGGGUUGUUAAGUCAGUUGUGAAAGUUUGCGGCUCAACCGUAAAAUUGCAGUUGAUACUGGCGACCUUGAGUGCAACAGAGGUAGGCGGAAUUCGUGGUGUAGCGGUGAAAUGCUUAGAUAUCACGAAGAACUCCGAUUGCGAAGGCAGCUUACUGGAUUGUAACUGACGCUGAUGCUCGAAAGUGUGGGUAUCAAACAGGAUUAGAUACCCUGGUAGUCCACACAGUAAACGAUGAAUACUCGCUGUUGGCGAUAUACGGUCAGCGGCCAAGCGAAAGCAUUAAGUAUUCCACCUGGGGAGUACGCCGGCAACGGUGAAACUCAAAGGAAUUGACGGGGGCCCGCACAAGCGGAGGAACAUGUGGUUUAAUUCGAUGAUACGCGAGGAACCUUACCCGGGCUUAAAUUGCAACUGACGGAACCGGAAACGGUUCUUUCUUCGGACAGUUGUGAAGGUGCUGCAUGGUUGUCGUCAGCUCGUGCCGUGAGGUGUCGGCUUAAGUGCCAUAACGAGCGCAACCCUUACGGGUAGUUACCAUCAGGUUAUGCUGGGGACUCUACCCGGACUGCCGUCGUAAGAUGUGAGGAAGGUGGGGAUGACGUCAAAUCAGCACGGCCCUUACGUCCGGGGCUACACACGUGUUACAAUGGGGGGUACAGAAGGCAGCUACACGGCGACGUGGUGCUAAUCCCGAAAGCCUCUCUCAGUUCGGAUUGGAGUCUGCAACCCGACUCCACGAAGCUGGAUUCGCUAGUAAUCGCGCAUCAGCCACGGCGCGGUGAAUACGUUCCCGGGCCUUGUACACACCGCCCGUCACACCAUGAGAGUCGAUAACACCCGAAGCCUGUGAGCUAACCUAUUAGGAGGCAGCAGUCGAAGGUGGGGUUGAUGAUUGGGGUG
rnacentral:rRNA from 1 species